CAUAUUAGGAAGCAUUUAAGUUCAUGGUGAUUGGUACAGGAAAAACAUGAGGUCCAUGCAGAUGGUGUUUAAAACUAUUGGCCAGCAAAUGCACACCCAUUUGAAUACAUCUUGAAAAAGAACCAGCAAAAUGUGACAGUCGGCAAAAUAUAGGUUCCCGCAGACAGACGCAUUUUGCCGGAAAACGAAUCUGACAUGCCACCUCGAGAUUUUAACCAAGGAAAGACAAGUUGAUGUGCUUUGAUUUGAGGGGUCACUCACUACCGAACGAAAAUUAGGGACAUCGCUAUGAGAAGAAACGUUAACAUUGUCGCCUAUGGGAAAACAAUUAGUGGACUGUACCCAUAUUAGGAAGCCUAUAAGUUCAUGGUGAUUGGUACAGGAAAAACAUGAGGUCCAUGCAGAUGGUGUUUAAAACUAUUGGCCAGCAAAUGCACACCCAUUUGAAUACAUCUUGAAAAAGAACCAGCAAAAUGUGACAGUCGGCAAAAUAUAGGUUCCCGCAGACAGACGCAUUUUGCCGGAAAACGAAUCUGACAUGCCACCUCGAGAUUUUAACCAAGGAAAGACAAGUUGAUGUGCUUUGAUUUGAGGGGUCACUCACUACCGAACGAAAAUUAGGGACAUCGCUAUG